rnacentral:lncRNA from 1 species
GAGGGAGAGAGAAAAGUGGAGGCAAAAGGAUAAAAGUAGGUCCUUUGGUCCAUAGCUUUUGUGUGCACCAUGAGAGAAAAGUAGGGUUUGGUCCAUGGUCCACCAUGGACCAAGGGCCCUCCUCUCACUUUUCUUGCUCCCCACUCUAACUCAUUUGACCCCUUGACCAUGGCAUGAGAGGCUUGACUUGUUGACUAGUUUUCCUCUGCCACGUAGGAUUGACCGCGCCACGUAGGUGUCUUUGACUCGUGCUUGCGGAAUGUUGACUUGGUCGCCAUCACAUAGGAUUUACGGCUCGGCCCAUAUAAGGGUUUAUUUUACUACUAUUCUUCAAAUUUUAUUUGAGUGUAUAUGUGUAGUGAGGUUUAUUAAUUUUGCAUUUCGAAAAAAUCAAUCGUGAACAUGGUUCGUGAAGGAACUUUUAAUUUCCUAUUUUCAUACUGGUCUAAUAGCACAUACCAGUGACAUGCCUUUGUCAUUUUUUUGUGCUUUAAAAAUAAUACAAAUACAAUAAUAAAUAUCUUUAAUAAAGAUGUUUUGCACGGGACACCUUGCUAGUUCUUUAAUUAAUGCAAAAAAGGGAAAUAUCAGGAAAACAUAGCUUAUGCAUUUUUUUUGUAAAUCCGGUACGCAUAUCCAUUUAACUGGUUUAAGUAACACUAAAGUAACAUAUCUUGGAGGGAAGCGCCGUCGCCGCGUCGUAUAAUUGCCUUAAAAAAAAGAUACUCUUUCCGUUUCAUAAUUUUUAUCUCAAAAUUUGCCCCCAAAAUAAUGUAUUUAUUUAUAAGAAAUGUUUAGAUUCAUGUAAUAUUUCGACAAAAAUUAUUAAACUGAGGGAGUAUCUCUUGUCCGUCGAGCACAUACUGCAUAAGCAUGCACACGCAGGUUGUGUCUCUGGUCUCUUCUGCGGUCAUUUGCAGUUUCGCGCUAAACUGACUAACGAACACUUCAAAGUUUAAAAAAAUAAAAAAAAAAAUAGCGAGAGCACCUGGUUGCGGGCUUGCUGCAGGAGCUCAAAGUUAAAUUGAUGCUCCUGUCGCCUAUAUAUACGAGCCAGUAGCUCCUUCAUCACAGCAUCAAGAUCACCACCACAAGUGCAUCUGUGCAAAGCGUGAAAAACAGAGCAAAACAUCCUCUGCCUCAGCCCGCGAAGCCAGCUCCUCUCCCCUGUUCCUACUCUGUUUCCCUCACUCACUGACUCACUCGAGAGUUCCUAGUGGAACGCGAGGCUUUGCUCGGGACCCGGCCAUGGUGGCGAUCAAGGCGCCGAGCUCCAUCGACCACGCGAACCCGCUGACCAAGUCCCCCAAGGCCGCAGCAGCAGCAGCAGCAGCGAUCCCGACGGUGGACCUGUCGUCCCCGGGCGCGGCGAGGGCCGUGGCGGAUGCCUGCCGCGGCGUGGGCUUCUUCCGGGCCACCAACCACGGCAUCCCCAGCUCGCUCGCCGCAGCGCUCGAGGCCCGCGCCAUGGCCUUCUUCGCGCUCCCGCACGAAGACAAGGUGGACGCCACCAUUGCCGCGGCCGCCCGGAGGCCCUUCGGGUACGGCAGCAGGAGCAUCGGCUCCAACGGCGACGUCGGCUGGCUCGAGUACCUCCUCCUCUCCCUCGGCUCAAACUCAAACUCCAGCUCCAUCCCAGGAGCUUCCUCCCUCCCGCCAUCGCUCCGGGCGGCGCUGGAGGAGUACACGGGAGCGGUGAGGAACGCGAGCGGGAAGGUGCUGGAGCUAAUGGCGGAGGGGCUGGGGAUGCAGGAGAGAUGUGCGCUGAGAAGGAUGGUGGAUGGAAGCGAGGAAGAGCUUGUCAGGGUGAACCAUUACCCGCCGACCAAGGAAGAAGACUGCGUGGCGGGGAUGACGGGGUUCGGGGAGCACACGGACCCGCAGAUCAUCUCCCUGCUCCGGUCCAACCGCACGGCCGGGCUCCAGAUUAAGCUCCAAGGACCCGACGCGCCAUGGGUCAACGUGGCUCCCGACCCGGAUUCCCUCUUCGUCAACGUCGGCGACUGCUUGCAGGUGCUGACGAACGGGCGGUUCAGGAGCGUGAAGCACAGGGUGGUGGCGCCGGAAGGGGCGCAGGCGUCGAGGCUGUCGGUGAUCUACUUCGGCGGGCCGGCGCCGGCGCAGAGGAUCGCGCCGCUGCCGGAGCUGAUGAGGGAGGGCGAGCAGAGCCUCUACAGGGACUUCACCUGGGGGGAGUACAAGGCGGCUGCCUACAAGACCCGCCUCGGCGACAACCGCCUCGGCCCCUACGAGCUGCGCAACGUCGCAGAUACUAAUCCGACGGCUCUGAUCACCGCCUCCAAGGAACCCACAGCCGCCGAUCACUGCUGCAGCAACAGCAGCAGCAGCAGCGCCGCCUGCGUCGUCGUCCAGCCGCCGCACGUAGCACAAGUGCACUAGCUAAGCUAGCUGAUGUCCGGCCGGCGGCUACUGUCGAUCGUUGGUCGGUCGUUUGAUGUGUAAUCCAGAUGUGGUAACUAAAGCUAGCUGUACGUGUGCCUGCCUGCUUUCCCAGCCCAAAAUUGGCAUGCGCCUGCGAAAAUGCCUCUCCCGCAUGCUCUGCUUCGUCCCGGUUUCAGUUUGUCCUUUCUGGGAAAACAUUUGUAACUUCCGCUAGUAGUAGUAGUAGGCUCGUAGCUGCAAGCCUGCAAGUGUGCUGCACCCUUUUGUCACCGGCAGUUUAACAGCUUGAAUCGCACGCUAUAUGCUGCCUGGUGUACUGUAAAUUAACGGCCCUAUUGUUCCGAUUGUCUUUGUGUGUUACUUACUUCUAGAGUACAAGUUAACUGGAGUACUAAGUGACAACGUUGUAAAAAAGCCCCCCUCUUCGCUUCUUUGGGGCCUUUUGUGCCGUAUAAGAAGUUAAGUACUUCAGAGGAAGAAGGAAACAGUUCAGUUUAGAUUCUACACGGUGCCAACCCCCGAUGCAUCAUCAAGACAUCAAGGUUCAGAUCAGACGACAGGGCUCGAGCCGUGCUCGGUAACAGCUCACGUCCGCUUGUUACAACUAGACGAGCCCCGUACGUUGUCGUGGAAAUUUUUAGUUAACAUACGUGAGCCCACGUUGUUGAGAACAUACAUGAAUGAAAAAUAGCAACAAAAGAGUAUUCAGUGAAAUGUAUAAUGGAAUUGUAUGAUAAAUUAUAGAUCAUUCACUUAGUAAAAAUAGCUUGAUGAAAAAUAGCAUGCAUGCAUGUGCAAAAAAUAUGAGUGUUUCACUAAAUAGAUAUGAACAAAUUAAUAGUGUGAUGAUGUGGCAUGCUUGCAUGUUGAGAGAAAUCAAGUAGCAGUAGCAUGUUCUUCUCCUUAGAUAUGGAAGAUUAGUGCUGUGCGUGGUACGGUUCGAGCUGAUCCAAGAGAAACGUGGUAUCUACGGAUCGGAUGUUCGGUUUACAAAAAAAAUCGGAACAACUAAAUCCUAUCCAAUUGAACCAUUGAUUCACCGGUUCGAACCUUCCUGUUCCUCAGGCCGAGGCAGCGAUUGAUCUCUCCAAUUCCUCGAUUUGCUGCUGCUGCCGCCGCCGCCGCUAAGCCCCACCGUGGUCGCCGCCGCCGUCUCCUUCAGUGCAAGUGAUCACAGUUCGCACCGCCUGCAAAUCCGCUCCCUCCCCACCCCCUCAGCGGCUCGCCGCCUUCAAAGCCGAAGCCAAGACGACUCCGCCGCUAAGACCAUCGGCGGCCGCCUCCGCAUCCCACGCCGCCACCGGGUGGAUUCGUCUCCAUCGCGCCGGCGCCCCCAACUCCCCGCCAACCUCCACCAUUACCCUGCUGUCGAUUCAGCGAGAUUGAAGUUUUUCUACCUCCGUCCCAGGCGCGCACUGCAGCCGAGCAGGCGACGAAAAUAACUCCUCCAUUACCCUGCUGUCGGCAACCUUCUUCGAGCUUUGAGCUAUUCGGCUUUUCCGGCCUGCAGCAGAGCAGCCGACGAGAGCCCUCUGGCAAGACGAAGCAUGCUGUUCUUUUCGGUAUGCAGUAUGCGCAGGCAAUUUAGGUUCGAACCAAAAGAUCCAUUGGAUCGUGUGGAUCACGGAUGCUGCUCCAAUGGAUCGAACCUUUUUACUCCCUUGCACCCUAGGUACGUGAAGUUUGGUGCGGUUCAGAGCCGGUACGAGCCACGCCCACCCCUAGUUACAAUCCGUUUUACUAAACCAACUAGUGGAAUGUCCGUGCUUCGUGACGGCUGAUGUUCAACAUAUAAUGGAAACGAAUAUUGAAAAGAAGGUGCAUAUCGUUUGCACGGAAUACAUAUCGGCCAUACCCAAUUGCUAUGAUAACAAAAUUCGACAAUACCAAAACAUUGAAAAACGACGAUAAAUAAUAUGAGAACUCAAGAAUACAGAACUUGGUUCAUACAUAGGAUGCGGUACAAACAGAUCUAUCUAAAGUACCACAUUAAAUAACAUCAAAGAAAGGUAAACUGGAACCAACCUAUAAUAGGGCAAGCUUGUUCAAGUAUAUUACAAUAAAAAUAUGCCUGGAAGGCAAAUUGGAAACAAAGAUCAUGAUUAGUGACAACAAAAACACUUACCACAUCUAUUAGCUGAUGAAAUGGUAGGAGCAAACCUUCACUAACAGCAUACAAGAACGAUGUCGCCAUUCUCUACAGCCUCCCAGAUAUUUUCAAGCCUCUCAUUCCUACAAGGACUUGAGUUGAUAUUAACAACUGGCACAGUUUGGUACCUCUUUUGUACAGUAGGAUAGAAUCACAUAAGGUAGAUUAUAUGUAUCCUGGAGGUUAUGGUAGAUUAAUAUAGACAACUUGUAACAUAUACAUUUUUAUAUUAGUGAUAUACAAGAAAUGGAAGUUGAAGGACUCAGCUACUUAUGGCUAAUGAAUUUGUUCAGGGUUCAGAAGACCGUAACCGGAUGGUUUGAGUUUCCAACGCAUUUGCAGCAUUGCCUUUUUCAAAUUUUAGUAAGCCCCAAAAUUACACCACUGAAAUUAAGCAACCAAACUCAGUAAAGGGAUACGUUCAAAAUGCAGAUAUUACCUUAUUACAUCCAAACAAAACGUAUGAAAUAUCAUGUUUAUGGGAAUUCCUAGAUUAGUGUGAAUAGUCCCAAGAGGAGCAACAAUAUCACCAACAUCCUCCCCGGAAGGCCGAAACAUGGCCCUUAUAGAUUUGGGAUAACACAACAAACCUACAGAUGCAAAGCAUGACAGUGAAACUUUGCUCAUAUGUCAGCUUAUUAGUGCAACCAGAAAACCAUAAUGCUUUUAGAAAAUAUUGGUCACUUGGAAAAAUAAAUAAACACAGAUUCUAGAGUACUAAGUGACAAUGUGUUACCGGUAUUAUGAGCAGCUCUGCAGAAAUCAAAGUUCAGUUCUCACAAACUCAGCUUCAUAUUUCAGUCUAUUUGUUGUUCACCUUUAACCCCACUUCAGGUGGGUUUCAUUCUCAUGCUUCAUGAUAGCAUAAGCAGCAAGUAUACAGUACCUUAGUCUUAAAAAAACAUAUAAUUUUCUUCCCUGUUACAUUGUGUCGUCAGUGGUGUUCCCCAUAUAAUUGACAUAUAUUCUUUGAACAUUCUAAAAGAAAAAAGGGGAUCAAACUUGUUACACACAUGUUCCCCAAAUAAUUGACUUUCUCCUCUAUCAAAAUCUAUUUGACAGAGAGAAUGGGUUAAAAUUCAGAUAUAUUGCCAGACUUACAGUUGUACAUAAUUGAAGUUAAGAACAAAGCAUUUCAAAAAUAAGAAACAAGGGAAUAUGAAACAUAUGAAAUUUGUAAACAAAGAAUGAGCAAAACAACAAAACAUGUGCAUCCAAAACUUAUUUAUUCCUACUUACUACUUACAUGAAUUAUAUUCUGAGUCUUCUGAGUGAGUUCCAGGUACCAAUGAGCCAAAUGGAAUCACGAUCAAAUUCGUUAGCAAGUGAUUGACGAACCGCCUAUGAUUUAUCGAAAUUAUGUCCAAUUAUGCUAUCUCAGAUAAGCAUCAACAUAAAAAUUUCCUACAACAACCUUCAUUUAUAUUAAAAGAUCAUGCAUUUUACUUGACGCUCUUUUACCAAAAUAUUGCAGUAAUCAAGUCAUGACCCAAAGAUUUCCGCACAUUUUACGGACUACAAAAUUAUAAAUCACCACAUGAAUUUAUUUUGUUUCAAAAUACCGCGCCAGAUUGCCAGAAGACCAUGAGUAAGAAAGAAGUGUCUACUCUUGGCAAAAGUCUAAACUACUCCUAAGUGCCCAUCGAUGGAAGGAAAUCUCAAUCAAUACAGGGGCACAUUGAGGAGUAAGACGGAGAGAGGUAUGGAUAGGGUUAGUUACCUUGAGGUGCUGGAUGCCGAACGAGUGGUCCAUGAGGGCCAGGGGAGAGUAUCCGGCGAUGGAGAUCGCCUGCGCAAGGGACGCCGAUGACUGUCAGCAGCAUGGUGCUGCCCCCGCCAAGCGCAGCCUCAACGGUGGCCAACAGGCGGCGGCGGCCAUCGUCUUCAUCAUCCGCCGCUGCUUCAUGUGUGAGGAAGAGGAACGGCGGAGGGCGCCUGCGCAAGGGACGCCGAUGACUGUCGGCAGCAUGGUGCCGCCCCCGCCAAGCGCGGCCUCAACGGUGGCCAACAGGCGGCGACGGCCGUCGUCUUCAUCGUCCGCAAUUGCUUCAUGUGUGAGGAAGAGGAAUGGCGGAGGGCGCCCACGCGGGAGACACUGAUGACGUCGAGCGCCCCGGUGCCGCCCCCGUCGAGCGCGGCCUCGGCGGGGGCCAACUGGCAGUGGAGGCCGCCAUCGUCAUCCGCCGUUGUGUCGUGCGAGAGGAGGGGCGCUGGUGACGAGACGUCUCUGGAGUAGGGGAUGGGAUGGGGACGAUGGCGGAUCUGGAGGGCUAGAAAGGAGGAGGUGGAUCGAGAGAACGGAAAGAACGGGUGCGUGGAGAACGGUGGAACGUGGUGCGGGAGAGAGGAGCUAAUUACGGCCGUGAUUGAUUGUUGGAUUGUUUUUUUUUUAGGGUUCAGAUAGGGAUGGUUUUCUUGGGGUGCGGGGAUCGGACGGGUGGGACGAGUGCGACGGAUGAACGUACGUACCAAACUCGAAAUUAAGUAGUAGUAAAGAUAGGGUGCUAAAUUAGGCAUUUGCAAUGACAGGUGACAGUUCACGUGGGUGCCAUGCUUUCCUUUUCCGUGACAAAUAGUACUCCCUCUGAUUCUAAAUUCUUGACUCAAAUUUGUCAAAAUAUGGAUGUAUCUAUUCUUAAAAAACGUCUACAUACACGUAAUAUUUUGACAAUAAUUUAGUAUUGGAGGGAGUAGUAUGUAUGUAAGGUUCGUGCUAACCUACAUGUUGACCCUACAAGCAAUUUUUUCUUUGAAAGCAUGCCAAAAUGCCAAAUUAGUCCUUAAAAAAAAGCUAGCCAAAUUAAAGCAUCCGGUUUUGUUCCUCAUCGUUCAUUUCCCUCCCUCCCUCCUUCCCUCCCACCCAUGUUGUCGUACAAUUGUUUUUUUUAACGGGUAAGGCUUCUCAUUUCUCAAAUAAUAGUACAAUUGGGUUUACCUGCCAUUUGCUGCCCAGCCACUAAUUGGUGCUUAUCUUCACGCCUUGUCGCCCCCUUGCAAUGGCAUUCAUCGGUUGGUUAAAAAGGGAAAAACAAGUUUGCAGCACCGGUACAUUUGUACAUCCUUUUCUAUCCACGCAACCACGCGAGGCCGGACGACACGUGCUGAUGCGACUGACGGGAAAGCUGGUUUGGACGGAUGAGCAGAGAGAGAGAACCCGCGCUCGAGCCGCACGUCGGUUUCUUCUUGCAGGAUAAACAUUGCACGUACCAAACGAGCAAAAAUAAGGAACCGGGUGCCAUAUAUAUCCACUCGAUCGGCUCGGACUUUGUCGCCGCCGCCGCGGCUGCUGCUCCUGGCGUCCCGCAGACAGAUUCCCACGAGCCUUGGGCUUCAUCACACGGAUGCCUGUUACCACUCGAUCGACCAGCCCAAAUAGUCUAGCCGUCCGGACUUCGCGUGCGUGCUGCUCAUAUAAUUGUUGGUUGCGUGGGGGCAAUUAUUGACGUACGUGUAGGCGCGCGUACUAGGAUUAAUCUAUCGACGACCACCGUCAUUCACGAGGUCCGGUCGCGUUUGCUAUCGAGCCCAGGCUCCUAGCUAGUUCGACCGGAUAAGGCCGUUCCCGAAUCUAGUCUCAGUGGCAGUAGAAGAACAGUAGCAGCAUUCUGGUGUGUUCUCUGCCAUUGCUCAUGGGGAAAUAGCGGUGUGGUUGAUCUGGUGGAUUUUUGUGCGGAACCCGACAAGCAUGCAUAUUAAAUGGCUUAAAUUUGUCAAAUAAAUAUAAAUGCAUCUGAAACCAAAACGGGACGGAGGAAGUACCAGUAGUAUAAAAGAACUGUGCACAUAAUGCAUGGACGAUGAAAUGGCCUCACAUGGCGAUCGACCGCGCGCGCUUAGGGCGCCGGCACACGUAGAAGAGAGCCUCGUGCUCGCGCGCGAGCUGAGCAUAUAGCACGUACGGUCCGAGCGGCGUCCCGGGCGGGGAUCUGCAGCCUAGGCCUGUCCGGGGCGCCGUCGCAUCGGUCGAUCCAUCGAUGGCGGGACACGGGACACACUGCACACAGCACGAACACGUGCGUGCAUGCGCUAGCUGCAUAUGCCAAAUCUGGUCUCGGUUCACGUUGGUACGUACGCGCUCGAUUGAUCGAUCGAUGGACAACUGACGUAUCGAUUCGAUACGUCAGGGAGGGCUACGUACGGAAAGCUAUAGCUAGCGGGGCCGCCAGAAUCGAGCAGGGGCUCGAUCGAUUCAGAUUCGAUUCGAUCUGGGGUCGAGAAAUAUGUGUGUGACUAGCUGCUGCUAUACGCACGUGCAUAAUACUACUGGUAUGCUACACUUCUCGUUAACUAAGAUGAUCUAUCAGCCGGAGGUGGCCCGUUAAAUUGAAGAGAGGGAGAGAGAAACGUUCAAACUGAAAGGAAAAAAUGGUGUAACUAUUUUCAAACAAAGGUAUUAAAUGUCGAUGGACAUGUCAGAGACAUCGGAUCAAGAUCCGAGGGUCAUCCACACUUUCCCCUCCGUAACGUGUUAUCGCUGGAUUAAAAUCUGACGACCAACAGGGGCGGAGUUACAGCGUAGACAUUGGGUUCAGAUGAGGAAUUGGAUCCGAGCCUACACAUAUGAACCCCAUGAUUAUAGUGUAAUGAACCCAGUGGUUUCCUUUUCUGGCUCCACCCGUGACGACCAAUCACGUCGACUUGUCUCUAACUAAAAAAAUACAGACGACUUCUUAAUAGCAAAACAUGAAAAAGGAAUAUAAUGUCUCUGUAAAAUAUAGAAAGACGUGGUUCUCCGUUAAGAUGUUGUGGUUAUUUCUCUUCUGUCAGUUGACCAUUUUUGUCCCCGUCUGAUCCAGCGCCGCUCCGUUACCGUACCAUGUUUUUUCACGUCAUUAUCCGUCCGUAUUCCUUAUUUGUUUUUGCAUUCAUAUCAUGUCCGUGCCGCUUCCAAACCAAUGGAAAUUGUGAAAUAAAAUAUGGUACUAUAUAAAAUCAUUAUCCGGUCCCGUUUUACAUAUAUGCUAUAUUCCUCAAGUAUGUACAUCGAUCGCGGUCUUGUAUGAUUCAAAAACAAAAACGAAAUAUCAGUAGAGAGCAAGCGUACAUGCACACGCAGGAUAUGCUUUCGUUGGUUAAUUCGGUGUACGUACGGACCACCGCGAUGUCUCUGCGCCCGUCGACGUCACACACGCUUACGUGAGUGCGUGCGUACAGUCGGUGAUUAAUCGAUCCGGAAACGUGCCAAUAUAGUCUGCAGCCGCGCCGGCUUUUUAUACUCCCUGCAAUCAAUGCACCCGGCCCUCUCGUUUCGGCCGAAAACUGCAUACCACGCUCGAUCGAAUCAUCCAAGUAUACAGAUACACACAUGCUUCUCGAUGACUCGAUCGAUGGACUUACGGUAUAAUCGUACAGUAGUUGCUUUCGCUUCCAGACGUAGGUACACGGAACGACGAACCGGGAAAAACGGCCCUCCUGCUCCUGGCUUGGAAUCAUUCCACCUCUGGUGGAAAUCCUGGACCACCCGUACGUCCAUAUGCUCCCUUGCGAGUUGCAGACACGUUAUACGUACUCAUGUAAUCGCUCCGUUUCAUAAAAAUUGACACGAUUUUAAAUCAGAACUAAGUUAAAAUCAUGUCAAUCUUCGUGAAACGGAGGAAGUACCUGACAGGAAUGCAUGCAGGGAUCAGGCACUCCAGUUUGGAGUUGGAACGGGGCACACAUGUGGAAAAAGUUUCGAACUAACAAGGUGGCGACUGCGACCAAAGCCAGAACCAUUUUUUGUCGAGCACGAUCGAUCGACCUGCAGCGCCAGAGCCACUAGAGGGCCCAGAUCAGCUUGCCCCGCCCCAAUUCCAUGCGUUCCGGUUGUUUCCUUUCGAGCCCCCUGCCCCAGUUGCCUGCCCUUUUAUCUCUCAGCGAUCAGUUACGUUCAUGCAUUCUUGGCCACACGUACCUACACUACAAUCGGUACUACUACGUACAUGCGAGAUAGCUAUGUCCCGAUCGAGCCUGCAAUUAACGGCAACUCGACCGAUCAAUCUGCAAGUAGAGACAGUAAUCUCGAAUUUGGUUCAAAAGCAGGCAGCGAAUCCUGGAACGACCAAGUUACACGGUACUCCUAUGUAAGCUAGUACUAGUACAACUAGUAGCAUGCCACCGGUGGAUCACUCACCUGGGGAUACAAAACCGUUCUCCUUCGAUUAGAGUCGUCUGCAUUAUUGACAGUUUCGAUGGACCAGGCAGACAGAAGCAAAGCCUGGAUGCGCGCGGGAUCCACUUGUCCAGCAAAAGGGCACGAAUCGGGGAGGUCACAGGACUUAAACAUACGAUAGGCCACGCGAGCCAAAGGCGUGCCGUACUGUGCUGCCCCUGCCUGGCCUGUCGUGUGAUGUGACAGAAAAAAAUUAAAGGGAGCGGCGAACCUGCGUUUCAUGAUCAUUGAUAGAUGGAUGGGUGGAUCGAGCUAGUAUUAAGCUGGUUGUGGUGUGUGUGUGUGGAGGGGGGUCUGUCUUUGAAAAGUCGACGCUGCAUGCGGACGUUCAGUUUCAAGUGGCGUGCAAGAUGUUCCUAGUGAAAAUGUGAAAUCAUGGGGGAAAUAGGCGAAGUUUGCAGGGUUGAACGGCACACCGCGUUUGGCUGACGGCUCUAUGCGCGGAUAUGAUGUUUUCUUUUUAACGAAUAUUCUGAUAUUUUUCAAUACCAAAACCGUAUUCGGAGUUAGCUGGCGUCUGAAUUUUAAACAGAAGACUUAAAUCUCCGGACUCUUGAAUUAAGAUCUAAGUGUCAUCCCCACUCUCUCUUCUCCCGCAUGCUGUUGUUGGAUUAAGAUCCAAUGUUCAAACACGUCAGCUGAUCGCUAACUAAGAAACAAGCGACUUCUUAAUAGCAAACCGUUUUCUGAAUCCCCACAUUCGAUAAUAAAAUUCCACCGGGAACCUACCAUGCUGUAUGCAGAUAUCGACCUUCUUUUUUUGGAUUGUGAUAAGUGUAUUUUCAUAGUUUAAAUAUUGUUCACGGUGCAAAUUCCGCCCUUGCGUGGCGGGUUAUUGGACAUUCAACUGUGGAUACCGAGCUUAGCAAAUUUUUGUCGAACUCUUUUUGGAAUGGAAUGGAUUAAUACAAUUUGACUAAGAGUCAUCAUUUUUAUGGUUUAGGGUGGUGGCUGCACCCCAAAACCUACCAAGGAUCGAACCCCAGGUUUGACCCUCGGCGUGUCUCAUUUGAGCCGAAUUUCUUUUGGCAGUAGGAGAUGCAAUCCGUUCACGCUUCACACUGAAGCGUCAGUGACUUCGUCGAUCUCAAAACGUUUUCACGAUUCUGGUCAUCCGUGUGAGUGUGUGCGCACGGCGGUGUACGUCGUGUGUGAUCAUUGUUCCUAAAAUAAAGUACUUCCUUCGUCUAACAAAGGAUGUCUGAAUUUUGAUUAAAUUUGAAUGCAUCUAUACAUCAAGUCAUGUCUACAUACAUCAACAUUUUGACAAACUUGAGACAUCUUUUGCUGGACGGUGAAAGUAUAGGAGCCCGGGAAUAGCCGCAUCUUAUUACAAGCAAUUAAUAUUUCGACCCUGAACCAGUUUGAGCUUAACCCCAGUGGAUCGGAAUCGGGUUCACUGAGCGAGCGAGCGCUCCAUUACAGAUUUUUACAGGCACUGAGGCACCGUCUCUUCCUGCUGCCCCCCUCCGGGGAGCUAGCUGCGUGCUAUGGACCGCCCAUUCGUGGAACGGGCUGUACCCACCAAUACCUACGUACCUGCGCGCCUGCCAUGCCACCCCUCUGCCACGGGGGGCUGUCGGCUCCAAAGAAUCAUGCAAUAAUUACCAGCUUCUUCUAUCGGCGGCAUACAGAGGAGAGGAUUGAGCUUUUGAGCAUCUCGUGUGCAGAGAGAAUCUCUCUGCCCGUUCGCGCCAGGUGGAUGUAUUUACUUGCGCCAGGAGCAAACGAGCAACUCGUGACCGCCUACGCACGUUUCCCCGACUAGACAAGUCAAUUGGUGAAAAUUGGUGAAAUUGGCAGCUAGCUUAUUUAUCCCUUUAUCCAUUCGCACCCACCCCACCCCGGCCACCCUCCGCGCUGCGCAUGCAUGCAUGUCCUCGUGGGCUCUCGAGGACUUGAAGUACGUACGUCGCAUGCAUGCAGAUAAGACGGAGCUAGAGAGAAAGCCUCUUCUUUUCGCUCGUGGCCCGGCAUGUGCAUGCCAAUGGCAAUGCCAGCGUCCCAGUCAGCUACUCUCUCCGUUCCAAAUUCUUGCCUCAAAUUUAUCCAAAAAUAAAUAUAUUUAUUUUUUAAAAACGUUUAUAUACAUGUAAUAGUCCGACAAAAAUUAUGAAACGGAAGGAAUACUGACCAUAGCUAUGGUCAGUACAACUCCUAGUGACAAGUGCAAGCAGGGGAAGUUCAUACUCUAUGUGGGAGGUGCAAUGCAUCUCUCGCUCUAAAGACGUGGUACUCCUAGACUACAGGACUACCACGUACUGGAUUCAUCGAGAUGUGAUGGAACGGUGUACCAGGGUGCGUGGCAUGCAUGUAGACGCCGGGCCGAUCGAUGUAUGUCGAGAGCGGGAUAUGGACAACGAAAAAGGGUGUGGGCAGGGUAGGUGUUCGAUCAAAAUCCACGGACAGUUCCAAACUGAGGAGACCAUGGGGAAACUACUGGACAUCGGGGGUAUAGUGUUCACGUGACGUCAGAACUGGGGAGAGCUACACAACCUCAAGUCGUCGUCUUCUGGUAAGCAAGAGGACCCUUGUUUGGGAGCGCAAUGCAAGUGCAGAUGUUGUGCAGGCGCAGCAGAGACGUGACCCUUGCAGAAGAAAACGCGAAGAGCCGGGUAUAGUGGAUAUGUGGAUGCGUGAAUUAUCGUGGGCCGGGCCGCUUCAAAGCCUGGUAACGCGUGUCGUCGUGGCCUGGCCCAGAUUAUGCUGCUCAUCCGUCCAGCUCGCAAUACAUGAAGAGAAGUUCAAAAACCCGCUGUCCACUUUUGCAUUUAUCCAACGUUUCCUUGAUGAUUUGUCUCUCAUUCGUGAUGUUGUCCAUGCUGUGACACCGGAGCCUCCUCCUGGUGGUGGUCGCCUUGUCCCGCCCACCAACCGCUGGUCUCCUCCGUCGGCUGGUAUGUGUAAAAUUAAUGCGGAUGCUGGAGUUGCAAGGUCAGGUGCAGGUGGUUCUUGUGCUGCGGUCUGUCGCGAUGAAUGUGGAAGAUUCAUGAGAGCCUCUUCGAUUACAAUCGAGGGCAUGACCGACCCUACAAUACUUGAAGCAUUGGCAUGUAAUGAAGGCUUGUCUCUGGCCUUGGACCUUAACAUCUCAAAAGUUUGUGUUGUUUCGUACUGCUUAACGGUUAUCAAGAGUCUACAACAAGAUGAUCUUUGCUAUUAUAGUGCGAUCAUUAAGGAUAUUGUGGCAAGGAAGGAUCAGUUCCGUGAUGCUGUUUUCAGACGUGAGAAGAGAACUCUUUAUAGAGAUGCUCAUAAUCUAGUUAGAGCGGAGUUACCGCUUUCUGUUGGCCAUCAUAUUUGGCUUUUAAGUACCCCAUGCAUUACUUGUAUUCCUGUUCAAGUUGGUGUUGAAUAAAGCUGGCCUUUCCCCUAAAAAUAAAAUAUCCGUCCAGCAGAACUGAAUCCCCAAUAGCGCGGUUACAAGACAAGAAUGAUUAUGUAAUUAUGUUCCUUGUUAUCGUUUCACUUUGCACCACAGAAAGAGUGCUCUGUUUGGCUCCACCAAGGCAAAAGGAAAGAGAAACAGGAACCGAGGAGUGUCUCAUUGUCAAUUACUAAUUCAGCCAACGAACCCAUAAAACAUGUACCGACGCAAAUGCAAUUCAUCAGAAGUGUUCUUCAAGGAAGAACACAGACAGGGUAUCGGACUACCGGUGACUAUGUUUGGAUAUCUUACAUGCUCAGAAUGCUGCGGGCGAGUUAACUGGGAAAUAAUUGAAGAUGAAGAAAGGACACAGCAAGUUACAUAAGCGGCAACAGAUUUUGCUAGAGUGGCACAGCAGUGGCAGGUGCUGGAACAUGCACCUCAAAUACAAUCAGGAACUCGAACUGUUUAUAGCUUUGGACACUUUCUUCCAUCGCAAAACACUUCGAGUUUGUUCUUAUCAAGCAAAUGGUUUUCGAUUAGGCCCAGAUAUGACAUGGUGUUAUUACAUGCAUAACAGCGCUGGCUUGUCAAGCACCACUGGCAUACAGGCGAGUCCACUCCUUCGCUGCAAAGCAAAAAAAAAAUUGACAUGUUAGGUACAAAAAGCAAUGAAAAGUGGAGCAAAAUGACAUGCUAGUGUAUCAAAGUGCAGUGUUAGCGUGCGGCUUUGUUGGCUGAAUUUUCAGUUACCUGUCUCGACAGCUUCAGCUUCAUUGGAUUUCCAGUGUUUUGCCACGUUUUCUGAGAGCGGAUCAUCUGGAUUCGGAGCGCUCAGCAGUGCCUGAAUGCUGCAGACCAAACAUUGUAAAGAGGCAAAAAAAAAAGAGUAUACAAUAGUGGAUACAAGAAGCAACCCUCUGGAAAUACGAUAAUAUGAUACGAUCAUGAACUAUAAUGAAACUAUUUGGCCAAACAUGCCACGGAAGACAGAAGAGGUUGCUACCUCAAAAGAACAGUACGUAUCUGAAGAGCUGGGCUCCAUUUGUCCUUCAGGAUAUCGAGGCAUAUCCUACCAAGCUGCAGUGCAAGUCAAUCCGAAAUGAGAAACUGUUAUCGAAUGAAGUUCCAUUGAGAAUAUCAGUUCCCUACCUUGUCAAUGUUGGGAUGGUAUAUUUUUGUGAGAAACCUAACCUGCGUCAGGAAUAACCAAAGAGUGAUGUCCAUCAGAAAGAAUCACAACAGAGACAACAUACAGAAAAGUCAAAUAGAAUUGUGUAACUACUUUGGUUAGACGACAGUGUCACACUAAAACUAAAACAACCAUGUUGAUAUCCGUAAGAGUAAAACAGUCCAAGGACAGGAGUUGAGAACAAAAUAUUCAGCUACCUCUUAUUUAACAUGAUGGAAAUUACUACUCCCUCCGAUCCAUAUUAAUUGUCGAAAUAUUACAUGUAUCUAGACAAUUUUUUAGCCAUAGAUACAUCCAUAUUUGGGCAAAUUUGAGACAAUUAAUAUGGAUCGGAGGGAGUAUUAGUCUGAGUCUCAGAUGAUAUAUCACAAUGUCAGUACACUCCAAAUAUAGCAUUGCCAAUUAAGUAAAGUAAAGUACGGAACUGUGCAAAGGAGAUUAGUUAAGUGAACGGAGAGAGAAAUCUAGUAUGGAUACGAAAAGUAUUAACACAAUACUAAACAUGGGCAUUCAGUAUUCCUGAUCACAAAGAUGGUAUGCAAAUCUAUUAAUGGUACAUAUCAACAACAAACAUGGGCGCUGCCCAAAAUAAGAUGUCACAAUAAAUUGCUGGUUUCGGUUAACCACAGGCAUAAUUAAACGUCCAUCCCACUGUCGCACCAUAGCAUGAUAAAAUCAUUGCGAAGAUCGCUCUGCCAGAUUUUGAACUCAAAUUUCAGUUACAACUUACAACUAGGAAAUGAACCAAAUUCCACAUCAAGGAGCCUACCGGGACAAGAAAAUCCAUCACAAUAUGUGUCAAACUAAUAACUUCUUAAACAACCAUCCACUAAUACUUGAUCAAAAAAUUACUUUUGGAGCAGCCAUCGGAUAUUCCUCAGGUAAGAAAAGUUCAAGCUUGAAAACUCCACCUGUCCAACACAUAUUAGAAGAAAUAUCAGGAGGACCAGACACAGACAACUAAACAAAAUAAUGUUUCACCCAAUUAAAAAUGUCAUAAGCAAAUACAGUAUACAAAGAUAAGUAAACCAAGCUUAAAUAAAUAAGAUAACAUAGUGACAAAUGUACUGUCUAACAAUAGGAAAACAGGUCGUUCUGUGUACCAUUUAUCAUAUACAUGCACCGCAUUUCAUUACUCCAUGUUGCAUGGAAACAUGGUAGAUAGUUCCUUGUGCCGUAUAUCAGUAAACUUCAGUAAUCGCAAAGGUUAAGGAAACCCAAGACAUUCAAUUCCCAUAGGUUACUGAUAUAUGGUACAGUUGUAGAUCUAGCAUGUUAAGGAAACUACAAACUUGUGCCCCAUAUCAUAUCUAAACUAAUAGCAGGUAUAACUGUUGAAGUAUAAGGUGAAUUGCCCUCAUUUCUCCAUCAGCUUAGGCUUUUAGGGGCACUGGUUCGGCCCAUAUGCAACUCUCCAUGGUAUCCGAGCCAAGAGGUCCCGAGUUCAAGCUCAAUAUAAUAAAAAGGCACUUUUGAUCCAUGAGGGGGAGUGUUGAAGUACGAAAUGAAUUGCACUCGUUUCCCCAUCAGCUUAGACUUUUGGGUGAACUGGUUCGGCACAAGCAACUCUACAAAAGGCAGUCUUCCUAUGUGGAAUAACUUCUACAAAUAAAAAACCAGGUUCACUAGAGCUUAAGAUAACCGAUGAAAUGGACUUGUCAAGCUAUAUUUUGUGAUGGAUUCAACAAAGCAGAAUCUCAAAGUAUAGAAUCCAAAAGGCACAGAAGAGUACAAUUACCACUGGAACAGCUGGGUACAAGAUGGUCGGAUUGCUGGUCUAGCAAACAUAAGUUUAGAAGUGUAUAGUUCCGGCAGCACUAGAACAACACCUUUAUGUGACCAUCCUGAUAUGAUCAUCCAUCUGUGAUGUUUUACUACAUAUUUGCAGCAUUUUACAAACAAAAAGAGCCAUAGAUACGAAAAUGGGGACGCGGUGACCACAGUUACAGUCCUAAAUUGCCACAGAACUACGCAUUCGUGCUCCAAAGUAUUACAGGGUUAUCGGCAUACGAAACAUUCCAACAGAAAUAAAAUGAAAAGGAGGUUUUACCUUCAUAAGGAGACUGCGCCGGACCAAGGACCAUGACAUUGAAGUAGCGCAUGUUCUCCUCCGACGGCGACGCGCUAAUCCCCGGCGCUGCACGCACCCCCCCAACACACGAAUCAGCACAAACAUCCGAGGCUCGAACGCGGACAACACAACAGGAGCAUCGAAUUCUAGGAAAACGAACCUGGUUCGCUGAGCAGCCGCUGCGUCUCCUGCAGCAGAUCCAAAUUCCGAACAGAUUAGGCACCACGCACAAGGAAUAACCAGACGAUAAGGUUAUCAUAUCGCGUUAGAGUCUCAGAAACGGCUGUAGAUCUGGGGGGGUGAGGGGCGAUCGGAUCGCGGGGUAGGGCGCGCGCACCUUGAUGAUCCGGCGCGGGAGGUUGCUGUUGGCCAUGGAGUCCGGCCGGGGCUGGAGCGAGAGCCUAGAGGGGAGGGGGGGAGGGACCGCCUCGAGCUUCGCGCGGCGACGGAGGAGAAGACAGCGCGAGAGAGGUCAAAGGAGUCGUCGAUCUGUCGGGGAGGGCGAGCCGGGGGAGGAGGCGACGAACGAACAGAAAUGGGUCAGGGUCCGAUACUGUGUACCACGUAUUUAUAAACUCCACGCUACAGCCGCUGCUGCUGAUAUUUUCCUUUUCCUCUUGAGCUGGUGUUUUCGUUUUAUACUCUACCGACCUGUUUGUUUGUCCUUCUAUUUCAGUUUUUUUGCAUCUGGCAAUCUUAAAAGCAUCUUUUCUGUUUACACGUGAAGCUGAGAGGCACCUCCGAACAUGCUAAACACUGUUUACACAUGAAGCUGAGAAGCACCUUCGGACGUGCUAAACAGAAAAAGUGCUUUUGAGAUUGCUAAAAGUACCAAAAACUGAAACAGAAGUCCAAACAAAUAGGCCCAGAGUCUGCUGGAUUGUGAAUUUGAAUACGCACACGGCGAAAUCAAAAUACGAAGUCAUGGCCACUAUGUUUAAAAUAAAAUUCGUGUACUUGGACAAAACAGAAGUUGUUCGGUGAAUAAAAAAACCCUAGAAAUGAUUUUCCGACGUAAUAAACGGUAUAAUAGUACUACUAGUAGUACGAGGGCUGCUGCAGCGGAGAUUAAAAAAAAACGGUGUUCGUUUUAGGUGAGCCAGGGAGAGCAUCUCUCCACGCGAAGGGAGCACACAAUUUAUGCAUGUGCAGAGAGAGAGAGCACGGAGAAGAACAACCUUUGGGUUUGCCUAAUUGCAACGGCCAACUUGUGACUUUGUGUUGUGCGCGCUCGUCGUGGAAGGAUCUCAGGCGAAAAGGAAGGUGGGGGAAAGCUCGAUUAUUCUCCGCAGCUUCAAUCCCACGCUAAGCCGCCUGGUCGAAAAGGUUUGGCUGGCCAAACCGGUUUUGCAUGGUACUCCGUAACAUGUUUUUCAAGUUUUUUAGAACUUUGGAGGAACUCGAAACAAAUUGAGAGCAUACGCUUUCUAAGAGUUGAAAAGUAUUAUUUUCGAAGCACGGGCAGUCGGGCACGGGCAUCAGAGCAUCUCCGUUGCCAGUCGCUCGAAGCGAAGAGAAAUCACGCACUUCCUCUGCUACCGAAGCGAAGGCAGGAACAAGAACAACAGCGACGAGACACAGCCAGAAAUUCGGCAUAGUAUUUGCUCAGGGCUAGAUUCCACUGUAUUCGCUGUAAUCUGGUAAAGCAUGUCGCAUGUGCCCAGACUACAGGAGGAUUUCAAGACAAGUAUCCAGUCCUGUCUUAUUUACAACAGAUAGCGUGCAAAACUAUGCUCAAGAAUCAAGAUAGAUAAAUAACACUGGAUUUCCCCAGUACUUGCUACUUCACCGAACUACGGAGUACAACUGGUAAAGAAUAGUUUCACAAGUCGGAUCCUGAGAUCACAAUGAAAGAGAAGAUACAACAGGGAGUAUUAAAUCUGCACAUGAUCACAAGGAAAUCCAGAUGCACAUGAAUCCAGACAAUAGGAAGAACAGGGAACAGUUUGACAUAUUUUUUCUAAUAAAACAGAAGGUCAGAGUUGCAUGCCUACAUUGUCAACAAAAUAAUAGAUGAAUUGCACGAACAUACCUCAACGACUCAAUGUCAACAUGGAUUUACACUAACAAUUUUUAGUCUUUGACCUUUCAUACUCUUCAGAAUUAAUUAUUACCAGACUAAAAACUACAAUGCACCUAAGAACACGAGCUUUCGCUUCAGAAUAUCCCAAGGAUGGUGGGGGCAGGUGGAGCACGCCAUCAUUGGAGAGCAAGAGCAACGCCAUGUCAUUAACUGAUCAUCUUCAAAUGAUAAUCUGUAGAAGAGACAAUGGACAAGAGUCAAUUGAUCGCUUCACCAAACAGUAACAUUACAAAUUUGCUAUACAGGCUCCAAACAAACUGAUUUUCUAUCAGUCUACGCUUAAACAUAGCAGUUAACAGGGGCAAAGCUUAACACAGGCCCAUCAGCAAUCAUGCAGAGAACAAGGCAAGGCAGAUCAUCCAUGGGAAUCACACAACAAUCCACAAGGAAGCAUGCAUUACAUUCUUUGGAAAGCCAAUCAAGAGAAAUCUGGGUUCAGCGAUCGGAAAGAUUUACAAUGGAUAAGAUAUGUCAAAAUUUCAGUACUGGAAACUUCAGUUACAAAGCAAUUUGAUAAAUCUUACAUGCCAAGACAAGUAUAGAAGAUAUAUCUUUAUAUAAUAAUACUGACUCGUAAUUGUUAGGCUUACAGCAAAAAAAAGGUUAAGUUUCAUUAAACAAGCUUAUUUAUCGGUCUCUGAGGAGCUGGGUUACCUGUAGAUAAAUGGGACCAGAAACUAAGAGGUUACCUGUUGACUCAAGCUUAUGCUUAUUUUGGCGAUACACGUACUCUUAGGCUGGACAUAAUUCACCCUAACGAUUCUCACUAAGACAUGAGAAAGGAAUUCUAGUACGGAAAGGAAGUGAAAACCAGCGCAUGUGCAUCCAAGUGACUCCUAGUGAAACAGCACAGAGAGUGUCCCAGAUCGAUUUUAACUCUGAGUCACCAAGUGGUUCGUCGGUAUCAAUUUGAUCCUAACAGAUUCCAGGCAAUACCAUCAUAUGUCACCCAGUCAUGAUUUCCAGGAAAAGAAUAUAAGUAUUUUCAUCAUACAGACAGAAUUGAAGAAAAACUAUUAUUAGACCAUACAUUAUGGUCUUUCAUUUGUCAUGACAAAAAUGUACUCCCUCCGAUCCAUAAAAGGUGACGCCCAUUUUGUACUAAGUUAGCACAAAUUUUGUACUAGGUGGGCGACACAUUUUAUGGAUCGGAGGGAGUAAUAAGAAACACUAAAAGCUCAAGAUAGAAACUAUGAUUAGUUAGUUCAAUCUUUUAAUAACACCUAUGACAUAACAGAGCUGCACAAUUAUAAUUCUGUAAAUUUUAUCACACCCAAAAACCCAGAGAACCAAACGAUAAGAUACAUAAGUACUUAAAUCUACAAUCAUAACGAGAUGGUCAACAUAUCUCAUCAAUGCACAAAAUUAAAUAGAAAAACACACGACGAAAACAUCCACCAAACAUUAUCUACUGAAGACACAAAAUAUAAAUAGAAUCUCACAAAGCCUACACCAGGAUAGAUCUUAUAUGUGAAUAUCAAUGCUCAACAGGACCGAAAGCCUUAUUUAUGAAGGUUAUCGCACAUUUGGGCUAAGGCCAUUGUAACAUAAAAUAGUCCAAAAUGCACAACAUAUGGGGUGGUCGGACUUCGGCAACGAAACUUCAGACAUACUCGCUAGAUUUUCCGAAGCAACAGUAUCUAAACUUUUUUGUUGCUAAUCCUCCGCAGCAACUCGAGCCAAUUGUUUACCAAGAUCCUUAUCGAGAUUAGCUAGAUUAUUAAACCUUGACUGUAGAUAAACGGACAUGUAUGUAACAUAUUGCUCAGAACAAUCAAGUCGGGCUCACCCAAGCUUGUUUACACCCAUAUGAAGGAAAGGCUUAUUGAAUUGCAUUGUCAGGAAAUCAGCACUUCCCCAAACAAACUGAAAGUACCUUUAUUCCACAACCUAUAAACAUCAAUGGAUAUACUCAGAACACAACAGCUUACAUGUGUGGACCUUCCCACCAUUAAGGCCAAACAUAGUAACAAUAAGUUCCACUUAUUAAAAUGUCAUUGUAUACAAGAAUGUCAGAUUAAAUUAUGCCUCUACACAAGCAUACCAAUCCUGUCACUAUCACUGAAAGUCUGAAACAUUAACUAACAGCCAACAUCAUGCCACAUAACUUGUAAUUUUAGCACAUCAACAUUAGCAUUACAGAAACAAUAGUAGCCACAGAUCACAUAAACGAACAAAAACAAUCUACAGCAAUGUUCUAAACUGAAAUGCUAAAACAUACUUUACCUAAAACCCUCGUCCGCAUCAGAGGUAAUUGGAGUUGGAAAGGAAAGGCAGCGCAGCAACGGAUGAAAUCAGCUCCACUCCACCAGCACCAUUGGAUGCAGCCCCUCCGCUCUUCUUCGUGCGCUUCACCCUUGCGAGCUUCACGUGCGCAUCGACGAAGUUCUCCAUGCGCUUCACCUCCAGCUGCUUCAGGAAGUCAAUUCGCUCGCGUUCCAUCUCUAGCGAAUGCUUUUGUUUCGCACUCUCCACGCGCUCAUACAUCUCUGCAAAAGCCUCAAUUGCCCUCGCCAGCUCGCUGACACCACUAUCCCCAUCACCGCCAGCCUCGCGACGAAAGGGACGCUUGUUGCUACCGCCGGAGCGCGCCGACGAGACAGAACGCGACGGUGACCUCCGCAAGUUGUCAUGGUGGUUGUUGUUGUUGUUACCACCAGGAUGAUCACCAGAGUCCUCCGAAUCAGACACCGCUGCAGCGGCGGCAGCGGCUUCCUGCUGGAUGAACGCAGCGGCAGGGAGCAGCGCCCCGCGGCGGUAGCUGGGGAGGGGCAGAGCCAUGGGCGGGGGCGGGGACGGCGAGGAAGAAGGCGACGGGUACUUCCUCGCGGCGGUAGAAGAAGGAUGGACGGGCAGGGCGAGGUGCGGGGCCAUCGCCGGCGAGGGCCGCUUGUUGGCGGCGGAGUUGAGGGUGGGGCCGACGAGUCGGUCGAGCUCGUCGAAGAAGCUCCAGCCCGACGGCGCGCCGCGGACGCGCUCGGCCUUGUACUUCUUCUUGAGGGUGUCGACGCGGUUCUUGCACUGCACGUCGGUGCGCGGCGGGCGGCGGCGCGCGGCGGCCCCGCGGCGCGAGUUGACGGCGUUGGCCACCUCCUGCCACUGCUUCUGGCGCAGGUUGCCGCGGUUGAGCUCCACGUAGCGGCUGCCCCACGCGUCCACCAGCGCCGCCGUCUCGCCCUCGCUCCAGCAGUCCUCCCGGUAGGGCAGGUUAGGGUUGGGCGGCGGCAGCCUCCCAAACCCUCCCCCUCCUCCUCCUCCCCCUCCUCCCGCCGCCGCCGCAGCAGCAGCCGCAGCCAUCUCCCUCACCUCCAUCGGAACCAGAUCUCGCAGGAGCAAACCCUAACCCUAGCUAGCCCGCCCGCCGAGAGAAGAGGACCGAGCGAGCCUCGGGGAAGUCGCGCGUGACGGUGGGCUAUGUGAGCGGUGGGGGGUUCGGGGUUGGAAUAAAAGGACACGGCGAGGGAAGGGGGGAGGUGGGGUCGCCGGCCGCGAGGGGUCCGGGUUCCGUCCGUCACGCACGCGGCACGUGACGCGUGACCGGCGAGGGGGGGGCGGCAUCGGCAUGGCAUAUCUCGCUCGCUCUCGUGUGUCGUGGGUGACCGGAUUCGGAUCGGAGACGUGCCGCCGUUGGAUUGCGUUUGACCGGGUAACCGGCGAUUACUUUCGGGUUUCGGAGGGCGGGUGGGAUAAUGACAGCCAGCCAGGCACAGGCAAAGCAGAGCGCGGCGACAGGCGACAGCCGGAGACCGGACGGAAUACGGUGGCUGGCGCGGGGGUGGGAAAUUACCGCGUUGCCCCUACCCCGGGGAGCAGGCCGGGGCGGCACGCGGCAGGGGCAAGGCGGGGAUUUCGCGUGGGGCGGCGCGGUGUCAGGGGGUGAGCUGGUCGCCGUUGGUCGGUUUGCGUUUCGGGGCCGCCGAAAGAGGGGAGAGGAGAGAGAGAGAAACGCGCCGAGGAUGAUGGGGAAGGGAGAGGAGACUCGCGAACCGAAGACACCGCUGCUCCUCGCUCUGUACUCCAGUCUAGGCUUCUAGCUAGACUCGGCGCGGUGGAGUGGGUGGGUGAAGAGACUGAGGCGCGGGGCCCGCGUGCAAGCAGGCAGGGCGGGCAAUUAUUGUCGCCUCUGGUGCCGUCGCUCGGUACAGAGGACGGACGGACGGACGGCGUGGGCAAAAUUUAAUCGGCGUGCAGCAGGUGCCGGCUGCCGCCUGCAGGCGCCGGUCCUUCGGAUUGAUCGGUGGAUGGAUGCACUCGCCAAUGGCAAUUCAUCCAUCAAACAUCAUUCGUUACUGUAUAUUUUGUGGCAAAUCAAGAUUAGAGGUUCAUCAUCCGUUUACCGUUUUGGUUUGUCCCCUGGCGUCAUCAUCACCGUCUGGGCUUUGGAACUGACAAUAUGGUUCUUUCGGUGAAAUUCAGGUGAAAGUAAAACUCCACCGGUAGAUAGCAGCGGCCAUGGUGCCGUCGUGGGAACAGAGCAGUACGUACGUUACGGGCUCGCGUCAAAUCCUCGACGGAACCGUGCCCGCUGCACCGGUGGGUGAACAGAACACCAUAAAUCCCUCGCGGCCGUGGAGAGAAGUCAGGGGAACCGCGUGUACGUACGUGGUCCUCUCCUGCUAGCUAUAGCUAGGCUGCCCCGUGCGACCGGCGGCGAGGAAACGGCACGCUCGGGAGCCGUCAACAUUGAAUCGGAGGGCCGGGCGGCCGCGAUAGCGUAGCGACCAGCGAGAUACUCAGUCAGUACGGGCUACUUCGGGCUGUCACGCACGCACCGAGCCGGACGGCCGGGCCGACGCGUCGGGCUUGGGAACCACCGGCGCCGCAGGGGCGGGCUCGGACCGCGUCCAACGCCGCAGGCUUUGCAAAGCUUGCGUUGCGUGUACCCCACGCUACCACGCGGGUCCCCUCCACCAAUCAAUUCCAGGCCGGACGGACGGCCGGUACCGUGUACCGACGCGUCGCCCGCCGGAUCUCCGUGGCGUUUUCCUUUGCCUUUAGUUGUGUACCCGCCCCGCUUCACGCCGGCCUUGUGCGGCAGUUGUGUACACACACGCACGCACUUGUACUACUACUGGUGGCCUUGGACUUUGCUGGUUGCUGGUGCGCACCCAGCUUUUUGCGAACGGUUCCGGGAAACGCCGGCGGAAACUUGUGCGGCGGGUCGGUCGGUUGCCGGGGAAGGAAGGAUUCUUCACACAAGCAACGUGAGAUCUGACCAAGGGGAGCAGCAGCCAGCCAGCACGAGCAGCAGUUCGGCGCUGGAGCUACGCGCGAGCUGGGGCAGGAGCUACACGCCAUGUACGUUGCGUCCCCGGGCCGGUUUGAUUUACGACCGGAAGAGCCGCAGCGUUUCCGGCGCGAUGACCGGACAAAUUAGCCGGCUUGGCCGAUGGCUAUACUAUAUCGGAUUGGACAUAUGGAGUGAUAGUGCUCCCGACAGGUAGGAGACGGACGGACGAGAGCGAGUAAACUGCUGCCUGCGACUCUGCGAGUCCUGCCGUGCACGGCUCCAUGGACGGACCGCACGUCCAUGGCCUGUGUAGCUCCGACCGCACCGGACGCAGGCAAGCGGGACGUGCUGUUCAUCCUGCAGACGGGACUGACCCAAGUUAUUGGAGACGCGUCGGCAUUGAAGCCUUUUCCAUUCUCAGGAGCAUGACGUAAUCACGGGAUCACGCACGGCGUGGGCAAAAGAUUACCAGCCGCGCCGCGCGUGCCUGACUGCCUGUGCAGCUGUGCUAUUUUGAGUGCAGAAUACAGUUCUUCAGAACCGCGCCUGUUUUUUGAGGCUAACUGAACAUGCAGUUCCAUACAAUUUCAAAACUCUACGUAUAAUACGGAAGGGUAAAAGAUACUGAGGCGGUCGAGACCACUGUCGCGACACGCGAAGCCUGAAAUCGUAGCGGAUUUACUUUUUCUUUCUCUCGGGGCAACGUCCAGCAACAGCAAGUGACUGCUUGCCGGUUCAUCUGGCCGGACUGAAGGUGCAGAACUAUCUGCUUCCAUGACCAUGUCAUCUUACUGAACUGAUGUUGAUGUUGAUCGAACGGAAACUUGGUAUUAGUGCAAUUUGCAUUUGGUAGACGGGGGGUGGGAUGAAGAAGCUGCAGCGCAUUGGUCAGGGCAGCAGAUGGAAAACGCUGGAGACGGAGGUCAAAGAAGACGCGCGUAAAGGAACCGGUCAGAACAGUGACUUCCUUACUGGAUUUAGGUGACAGGCUGAAAAUUGUUUAUACUUUGGCACGUUGCCUGGGACACAGCAGUGGACAAGUUCGGUUCGGAGAAUUCUAUCCUCCAGUCAUGUUCCUUCUCGGUGAUUAACUAUCAGCUCAUCUGCCAAUCACAUGUUCUGUGGUGACAGCAGCCAGCAAAAAUAACCGAACGGAUUAGUGAUCGCCUAGAUUAUGUAGCUCAAUUUGCAUGCGUAGUUUCAAACGGUAUAAAACGAUGCCUUCGAAGAAAUGGGAGUAGUAAAAAACAUGUGGACUCGAUUUGGGCCGGGCCGCGAUAUCUUCGGUUCUCCACCCUCUUACGCGCAGCGUUUCUUCUCAGUGUCUGCUCAUCACUUGCGUUAGCUUGUAUUGUUUGCCUUCGCUUAAUAUUAGUGCCAUGUUAUCAUGGCUCCAUCGCCCAGUCGAACGCCGGCUAUCAGUUCAAAUUAUGGAUAGUCUAUUGGCUUUGAAUAAUGCGUGUCCUUGCUCUGAUUCCGUUGAGUGUCAUUCCAAGAGUAGGUAUCUAUCAGAAGAAUUUUCAGCAAAUGUCAGUGCUGCUUGAAGUCAACGAGUACUAAUCACAACAUGUGUGAACAUUUGCCAUCCUCCUGCGGUGCACUCUGACCUGCAUUGGAGAGCUGUAUUGCAGCCUGAAGGUCUUCUUCUCUAUUCUACUUCUACAUAUCUACCCACGUGUAUAUGCAGUAUCCUCCGAUGGUUUAGCCCAUGGGCAAUGCAGUUGUCUGCUUCAAUUCUUGGUGUUUCAGAACUAGUAGUACUACUAGAUAUGAUCAGUAUGCUGGGGACAGGACAGUAUGAAUGUACGAUAGAUAAGGUCCUAGAACAUGGGCCACAGGUUAUGCAGAUCGCAGACACGAGUGUUUGGCUGGAACUGAUCUCCGAAUGCGAGACUCCGAGAAACGUUGAUGCCGCUUUCUGUCGAUCACCUUGAGCCAUUGUCCGUCUGCUGGCCUGGCAGGGAAAGUCUACGGAAUGCCAUCUCGAAAGCCAUGGAAAUUCUGUUUUGCCUGACAGAACUCUGGCGUACAUGAGCAACAGCGACCGGAGCGUGGUUUGCCUGCGUGCUUGACUGUAUGGUCACGACGAACACGAGGUGGCGACCAUCCGCCGCGUUAUCCAGGACUGCACCCGUCAGAGAAGGAUCCUUCACUUUUUGGGAAUCCAAUCACUUCGGGAUCCAUCAGAGCAGAAGACACGGCCAUUUCGCCGGCGGCUUUCCCCAUACAGUGCACAUCUCGUGAACUUCCGUCCAUAUUUUCUGGCCAAAUUUGCAAAGGAUUUGUGCUUUUCAGAGUGCAGCAAACGUAGCAAUACCAGGAAACUACGGAGUAGAAUAGGAAGGAACGUACGCCUGUUUGUUCGGGCGGCAAAGUCAGAGCGACACUCUCUCUACUUUGUUUGUUCGUCAGGCCAGGACGCCCGCCAAACCCGACAUGGAUAACUCCAUUAUUGACGAUGGAAAGUAGAAAUCUGACCCCGGGGGCACUAGCAGACGACACUAUCCACAUUGUCUUCACACACCGAGAAUAUGACAAAAUAACAUGCAUUCUUAAUUCACCUAUCGUCCCCAGUACACACCAUCAGAAAACAUCUUCGAUCUUCUAAGGCGUGGAUGCAUUAGGGGUGCGUAUAAAAAUAAUCAUACUCCUUCCGAUACAUAAAAAGUUUCCCACAUUUAGUACAAAAUAUGUACUCCCUCCGUCGAACAAAGGAUGUUUCAACUUUGAUUAAAUUUGAAUGCAUCUAUACACUAAGUCAUGUCUAGAUACAUUUAAAUUUUGACAAACUUGAGACAUCUUUUGUUGGACGGAGGGAGUACUAAUUUUAGUACAAAAUGUGUGACACUUUUUAUGAAUGGGGGGAGUAUCUCCUAGACUCUUUUGAUUCAAAUGAGUUAAUCCUUCAGAAUUUUUUCUAUGUAGGCUUAUUUCAUUCGUAGGAUUAGAUUUUAGUGGAAAUUUGCCUAUGGUUCACUUUGCACUGCAGUGAUGCAAACCAGAUUCCGCGAAAACCCACUUCUAGUUCAUUUUUCAAAUCUUCAAUUCAAAUUUUGAGCAAAAAUUUGGAUAAAAGACUUGAGAAUUGAACUAAAAGUUGACCAUCAAUGGGAUCCCGUUUGCAUCUCUACUGCUCUCAAUUCCAAAGUAAAUUUUCCAUCUAAAUCUAAUCACUUGAAAAAAUUCCUUUGUUUCCAUGAUAACUAUACCAAUGCACGUAAUGUUUUUCUCUGUUUUUCCUCUAAUGCUAGAUUGAGUCUGUUUUUCCUUUAAUGUUUUUCCAACUCGAUUAGUUUAUUCAGGUGGUUUCUUCCUGUAGAAAACAACAUAUCAUGACAUUUCAAUCUUGUGUUUGCUAUUUCAGGGCUCAUUCACUCUACAUGCGUUUUAGAUGAUUUUUCUACAAGAUUUCAACUCUUACACCUUGUUUGGCACAUGUGGGUUUCUUACGUUUUCUAUUUCUACUCUACAAUCUUAAAAUCAUGUUCUCCUUCUGACCUUUGUUCUCAAAUUUAUCUAAAUACGGAUGUAUCUAUGUUUAAAAAAUGUCUAUAUAUAUUUAUAAUAUUUCAGUAACUAAUAUGAAUCGGAGCAACUAACUCGAACGAGCCCUCGGUGUUUGAAUAUUUAAAUACUCCUGAAUGCAAGUAUAGUUCUGCACUCCUACUGCAGCUUGCUACCACGAAACUAAACAUUUCUCUUUCUGCAGCCCCCGACUCGAUCUAGCCGCAGUCCAUGUCGUUCUUUUCGCCCUGGCGUGUGCAAGAGUCGAACCCAUAGUGUGAACAAUUGAGUUAGGCACGAGCCGGAGAGGAGGAGAAAGGACAAAUUAUUGCUCAGAUUAAUCAUCACCUCGAUCGUUGCGGCGCAAUACCGUUAUAUAACGACGGAAUACGGGCCCACACGUCAGUGUAAAGCGAGCUGCUUGCCGCUUUCUCCCUCUUGCGUGACGCCGUCGCCGUCCAGAGCCAUCUGGCCACCGGGCUCCCAGCCCCCCACAGAUGUGCCCCCUGCAUGCGCGCCAUGUAUCAGCCUCUGAUACGUCAGGCCAGGAACCAUCCUCAGCCGUCAGUUCGUCCAUCUCGACGGCUGCGAUCGCGCUGCCGCCACUUAUAAAUAGCACCGAUGCACGCGCGAGAAAGUCCGUUUUACCUUGCUGGGGGGGGGGGGUUUUACUUACAUGAGCGCGGGAAUGGAGGCGGAGCUGGAGGCGGCUCAGCGGCGCUUCCGGCUCUGGUUCCGCGGGCUGCGUUCCCUGCGGCGGGACCUCCGGUCGGCCCGCUGGGCCGGCGACGACCCGGCCCAGCUGGGGAAGCUGGCGGGCGGCUUCGUGGCCCACUUCUCCGACUACUGCGCCGCGCGGGCCGAGCUGGACCCGGUCCUGCUGCUGUCGGCGCCCUGGGCGAGCCCCGCGGAGCGUGGCGCCGCCUACUGGCUGGCCGGGUGGCGGCCGACCACGGUGGUCCACCUGCUGUACACCGAGUCCAGCCGCCGGUUCGAGGCGCAGCUCCCUGACCUGCUCCUGGGCGUGCGGUCGGGCAACCUGGGCGACCUCAGCCCGGCCCAGCUGGCCCAGAUCGACGAGCUCCAGCGCCGCGCCGUCGCCGAGGAAGACGCGCUCUCAAGGGAGAUGGCGCGGCUGCAGGAGGGCCACGGCGUCGUUGGCGGAGACGGGGAUCUGGACGUGGAGGGGAUCGUGAGGCGCGCCGGGGCCGUGGUGGCAGGGGCCGACGCGCUGCGGCUGCGCACCUUGAAGCGCGCCGUGGAGAUCCUCGAGCCGGCGCAGGCCGCCGAGCUGCUCGUCGCCAUGGCCGACAUGGAGAUCGGCUUCCGGGAGUUCGGGCUAAAGCACGGCGACGGCGGUGGCGAGCCGAGCCGCGGCGCGUAGGCAUAGGCGUGGCGCGGUCCAGAGAGCAGAUCCUCAUCCGCAUCGGCGGCUCGGCCCAGUUUUUUUCUUCCAAGUGUUUGCGCUGGUUUGACUGGGACAGAAAGACUGCUCACUGUUGUAAUCUUGUUGCCGUGACGAUUGUCUUUGCCGAACUGUCUCGCGGUGGGUGCUGCGUCGUAGCUGGACCGUGUGCGUGUGCGUGUGCGUGCGCGUGCGCCUGCUGGGAUGUCGUGUGAGAAAGCAAUAAAAUGCAAGGAAUGCAUGCUUGGUUUCGUUGAGAAGUCAUAUUUUGUUUUCGAGCAAGCGGUUUUUUUAACAUCUUUUCCGAUAAAUUGGCUGUUUGUCUGUUCACUACAGAAGACCCGUCCUUUUAAAAACGGUUUUGCUAUUAAUAAAUCCAUGUUUUAGUUAGAGUAGUCAUAGGAUUUUAAUCCAAUGAUAGCAAGUGAGAGAUGAGAGAACGAGGAUGACUCUCAGAUCUCCAGCAGUUAUGAAACGUCGACUGAUAUUUAAGGUUCAUUUUUUAAAAACUUGCGACUUAGAAAUAGCCAUACCCAUUUAAAAAACGUGUUAAAUCUUAUUAAAAUAAGAUUCUGAUCGAUAACUUAUUUUUAAUAGGUAUUGCUACGGAAAAGUUGUUUUUCUAGUUAAAGAUAAGUUGAAACACCAACUGUCAUAUCUUGAUCCAACGGCGGCACAUUGAAGAUGGGGUGUAGCUGCUAGCUUCGGCAUUGAAGAUGGCGUCAUGGUAGGGAGAAGCUAUCAAGUUAUCCGAGAUAGAGGAGGCACUGAUGGAACACAUCCGCUUGCUAGGCUUGUAAUCGGACAAAUAAUUCAAACAGCUUUGCUAUUCAUAAGACAAUUGAGAAAUAAUUAUUUUCAAGCCGACGCUAACAAUCGUUUAAUCCAAUCUCUGAUAUGUGUGAGAUCUAUACAAGUGUUGUUGACUGAAAAUAACUGCUUCCUCCGCGCCUGGAUACUCGUCGUGGUCCGGAAAUCCAACCAGUUGUUCGUUCGAGCCAGAUCCAAACGACACCGGACAGACAACCACGGGCGGUUCUACCGUGCCGCACGGUCACGCGCCCAAUUAACCGGCCACACGGCCAAGCGAAUCCAGGAUUAAAAAUAGGAAUCGCGUACAAUUACCGGCCACCCAGCCAGGCAGCCCGCAACGAUAAACCAGCAGUCUCCCGCUCCAUGUUUGGGAGCCAUGCCCAACUACAAACCCAACGUUUCCAAGCUGGCCGCCGCGCCCCGCGACAUCCACACGGCAGAUUAACCCUUCUUCUCCUUUCCUUCCUUCCUCCCUCUCCGCGCGCGCGCGACCUCCCGCAGACCCGCCUCCGCGAAUCUAGCCACCCCCGCGCGUGCGCCACGCACCGUCCGUCCGUCGGACCUCGGCCGGGCCGGCCCGCGGUCGUCGGCGCGCGGAGGGCGUUCGUGAGAAUGCGUGCGGCGGCGAUUGGUUGCUAGCUAGCUAGCGGCAUGCCUGGCAUGAGCGCGUGAUGGCGCCGCCGUUCCUGAAGACCGGGCACGGCCGCGACAGGUUCUCCUUCAGGCGGCGGAAAUCGUCCUCCUCCUCGUCCUCCUCGUCGACGCCGUCUUCUCCGCUCUCGGUGUCGUCCACAGCGUCGGAGGACAUCGCCGACCCGGGCAGCCCCAUGGAGUCGUCAGCGACGACGGGCAAGACGCUGCCCUGCGCCCGGCGGGCGCUCUCGCGGAGCAGCUGCGGGUCCAGGGGCAAGCUGUCCGUCGACCUGAUCCCGCCGCCGCUCGCCGGCGGCCCGUCCGACGCGCCCAGGUCCUCCACCUCCGCCGCGCCGCCCCCCAAGCCUCCCCCCCGCAACGAGGGCCCGCCUUCAGGUCUCACCAUUGUUAAUUUUCUAGUGUCUGUCUGACUUUCUGUCGUCAAAUGCAGAGAAAUGCCUUGUUAUGUUUUCGUGAUCGAUUGCAUGUAUCCAGAUGCUGACAUCGUGAGGGACAAGUUCUCCAAGCUGCUGCUGGGGGAGGACAUGUCCGGCACCGGCAAAGGGGUGUCCUCUGCCCUCGCUCUCUCCAACGCCAUCACCAAUCUUGCAGGUAAUCUCUCCCUUACCUUCCAUUUCCGAUCUUUCCAUUUCCAAUAACAGUCCCUGUCUUUCAAAUCUUCCCAUUCUGUCCGUUGGGUUCUGAUGGAUACUGACACGAUCAGCUAUGAUUUCUUUCUCAUGACGUGGCACAUUGCAGCUUCCGUGUUCGGUGAGCAGCGGCGUCUCCAGCCGAUGGCCGCAGAGCCGAAGGCCCGAUGGACAAAAGAAAUUGACUGGCUUCUGUCCGUUGCCGACCACAUCGUCGAAUUCGUUCCUUCACGUCAGGUGUCCGAGGAUGGCUCCACCAUGGAGGUCAGAAACAAGAGGAUCCUUGCUUAUCACAAGUACCUGGAUGUAGUUCUGUAUCACGGAACAUCUUUAUGCAAAUCCAAUUACAGCGGUGCUAUUUUUCUCUCUCUCCCCCCAAACAGAUAAUGAUGACUCAGCAGCGUAAGGAUCUGCAGAUGAACAUCCCCGCACUGCGCAAGCUCGACGGGAUGCUCCUUGUAAAGCUCUGCCACAUUCUUCUUUGAAAUCAUUUACGAGAAUGACAUGCGUGGAGAUACCUGAUGAAUUGCUAAUAUGCUAUGGCUGCACAUUUCCUGUUGUGGGGGCACAGAGCUAUCUUGACAGCUUCAGGGACAAGCAGGAGUUUUGGUACGUGUCGAAAGACGCAGAUGACUCGGAGAAGGGAGACGCGCCGAAGCAGGAUGACAAGUGGUGGCUCCCGACUGUCAGGGUCCCUCCUAAUGGUCUGUCGGACUCGUCGAGGAGGUGGCUUCUACACCAGAGGGAGCUCGUCGGCCAAGUCCAUAAGGCAACAAUGGCCAUCAAUGCUAAUGUUCUUAUGGAGAUGGAUGUUCCAGAAGCCUAUAUGGAGUCUCUGCCUAAGGUGACCCAUAUGAACACAGCAACAUUGCAUAACAUUUUUCUUUACUUCGGUUCACUGCAUUUAGAGGGAUCGAGACUCACUUUGACAGCAUCUUCUUUUUUUAUGCUUGAUAGAAUGGAAAGUCUAGCCUUGGAGACUCAAUGUACAAGCUUAUAACUGACGAAUAUUUUGACCCAGAAGAACUCAUAGCAUCAGUAGACUUGUCAGCCGAGUACAGCAUCGUUGAUCUGAAGAACCGAAUCGAAGCCUCGAUUGUCAUUUGGCAGAAGAAAAUGACGCAGAAGGAUGCCAAGAUGUGGGGGCAUGGUGUCAGUCAUGAGAAGCGGGGACGGUUUGAGGGGAGGGCGGAGAAUGUUCUUCUCCUCCUUAAGCACAGAUUCCCCGGAAUUUCUCAGUCAGCUCUGGACAUAAGCAAAAUCCAGUACAACAGGGUACUGGCAACCAUCUUCAAUUUUCCACUGUAUUUUCGGAUUUCCUACAGUACUUUAUUACUCAUGCUCAUUGCAUACAUUUUCUCGUUGUGAUUUUUUUGCAGGAUGUUGGCAGUGCCAUUUUGGAGAGCUACUCCAGGACUCUUGAGAGUCUAGCAUACACGGUUAUGUCUCGCAUCGAAGACGUUCUUCGCGCCGACUCCCUUGCUCAAGACCCCAAGAACGCGGAGGCGACGAGAAUGCCGAGCUUAUCAUCAGAUGACACAGACACGGUCGUCCAAGAUGCCAAGGACGAGGUGGAGAGGCUGGGAAGAAUGGAGCCUCUGAACUCGACACUAUUCGACUACGUGGGCCCACGGGACGGAGAUAUCGGGCCCAUGAUGUCGGAUUCACAGGAACCUCGGGGUGCAAAGCUGUCAAAGGUUUCGUCGAUCGCAACCAAGAGGUUCUCCUACCUAGAUAAGCUUGAGAAUUUGGGUGGAACAAGGAGCCCCAUAUCUAGACACUAGUCGCUGCCGUAGGGGAAAAGACGAUCAAUAUGGUGUUGAUGUUGCUGCAGAGACUCCGGGGAAAACUGCACGUAAAUAGCUCCGCAAAAACUGAGGGUGCAGCAUGCAUUGUGAGGUUUAUGUAAGCUUUCAAGCUUUCAGGCACCAAUACCUCCAAUUUGGUGCAGUUGCCAAGACAAUGUGAUGACGAUUCUCCUGCUAAAUUUACAUGAAAUAACCACAAGAUUCUGACACUGGACCUGAAAAUGGACCUCCAGAUUUUCUUACUGUACUUCUGUAGCAAAGUUUUGUGGUUCCAGUAAAGUGUUUGUUAUCUUAGACUUGACUUGCAGACCAUGCUUGGGUUCGGCUAGUGUUCUCCCCACGUACAAUUUAAGAGGGUAAUAACAUAUCACUGAACUUGGAGAUCGAUCUGUGUUAGCUUCUGGCGUUCUAGAUCGGCACUGUAAUAAGUAACUGUAACUGUACCAUGGCUCUAUGCAUUGGGAAAUUAAAACCACUCGUAUGAGUAAAUCAAUUUACAGGAACAAAUGAGCAGUAAAAAGCAUCCUUCCGGUUGCUGAUAGUACGUGCAGCUAGGCACGCCAUAUGAGUACAUACAACGAAGGACUUAACGUCCAGAUACGCAGAUCCAUGGUACACAAGCACAGGCAUAUGCAGGAACAGAUUCAGAGAGAGAGAGAGAGAGAAAGAAACUGAAACCAAAGCUUUAAUCAAAUCAGAUCAGAUCUUGCCGCGUGGGCCGGGGGUGGGGGGAAGCUGCGGCCCCUUCUUGAUGGGCAGCAGGUCCGGCGACGUGGUGGCGCCGAGGUAGGCGAUCAGGGACCCGCCGCCGAGGAGCAGGAACUUGAGCAGCAGGCCGCGCUUGGUGAAUGGCGCCGCGAAGGUCUGGAAGAACUUGCUCUGCAGCCCGUUGUAAGGGGACGGCGCGUCGGACCCGUACAGGUCCCACUGCCCCGUCGUGUUGCCGAUGUCGUCCAGGUCGAAGUACACGCUCUUCUCCCCGUACUUCGCCUGCACCGCGACGCCUCGUGCAGGCCUGCAGGCGUACGCGCACGCGUAUAUAUACGGUUAUUUAUACGUAUGUACAUACGCUCGAUCGAUGACAUAUUAGCUCGCUUCACGUGCGUACCUGCGGGUGGAGCGGCAGAGGGAGGACGGCCGGGCGGUGGCGGCGAGCUUGCGGCCGGACAUGGAACUGCCGGCCAGGCCCUUCACGGCGGCCGACGGCUGGACGGCGACGAGCGACACCAUUGUUGUAACAGUGGGAUGUGUUCUGAGCUUCUUUUUCUUUUUUUUUUUGCUGCG